UUCUAGCUCUCAGCAGAGCUCUAGUGGUCUCUCAGAGAGGAAAACAGAACUCUCUUCCCUUGAGGAAGUGCAAGAGUCGAUAUUUUCUAACCCUUCCUUAGACUCAGCUGACUGAAACAUGGUUGGCUCCAGAAGAAGAGUGAAUCAAGAUUAAUUGUAUGCUUUGCAUGAUUUCACUGUAAUAAUCCUAAUUCCAAGGAUAAUUGGCAAAGUUAUUUGGAGGUUAAUAAUGGACAAAUUUGAGAGGUGUGAUGGAAAUAACUUCUGAGGAGACCUCUAACAGGAGCGUGCUGAAAGUGUAACUGACUCAUUGACUGAGGAAACUUGUGUAUAACAGAAAUAUUGACUGAGGAAGCUUCCACAAUGACUACAGUUUCCAUAGCACACACACCACAUGGUGUUAAACAGUGGCAUUUGGAGAGCUUAGGGCUCCUUGCAGGAAACACAAUGAAUCCCAAGCAAAAUCUGACUACAGAAAUCAUGCCUUUGCGCUUCAGUGCUUGGACACCAAUUGAAAAUAAAUAUCUUAACAAGCAGCUUUUUCAAGAAAGAGUCAGGCUUAUAAGCCACUGGUUUGACCUUUGGACGGAUAAGCAGCGCAAGCAGUUCCUCCACUGGAUACUGAUGAAAUGCAAUAAGUCACAAUUGAAGUUUGCUGAGACGUGGUUUGUUGAAAAUAUCCCAGUGACCAAAGUGGACUUUACCAGCUUGCUGCCACGUUUCAUAUCACUGUACAUAUUUUCCUUUCUCAGCCCCAAAGAUCUGUGUGCAGCAGCCCAAGUCAACUGGCACUGGAAGUUCUUAACAGAACAGGAUUGUUUGUGGAUGCCAAAAUGCAUCCGGUUUGGAUGGUUUCUACUCUACACUCCUGCACAAAAUGAAUACAGUGCUUGGAAGCAACAUUAUAUUGCUUGUGCAAUUGAAAUGGAUUACUUAACACCCAGGGAAGCCACUGAAAUGUAUGGGACUCUCAAUGAACAUAAUACAGAAACUGAGGAACAAAUGGAAAGACUUCAUGACAAAUAUCUACGAAAAAUUAUGAGAGAAAAACUAGCACUGUACAGGAAGCAAUCAUUCAAAGCUCGUCCACCUUGGGUAAGUGGAACAUGGAGCUCAGGCUUUUUAAAGUCUGGAUUUCAGCCAAAUACGUCCCAGAUUAUCCAUGACCAGACUGAGUUACCAGCAGCAUUAUUACAAAUGAAGAAAGGAAUAUCUUUCCCAAACAAUACACUUUCAAAACAGAUUUCUGAAGCGGCUAAAUUUGUACCACGUUCUGGUAUGGCAACUAAGAAGCAGCUUGUAUUAGGACCUUUAAAAACUGCACCAAAACGAAAGAAUGUUGCUGGUUGCAGCUCUUAUCCUGUCCUACCUCACAGACAUUGUUGGGCAGUUUCCCAAAGGUGCAUUAACUGGGCACAUCCUGCUCAGCCCCACCCUCCUGAGCCCCACCUGGUCUUGAUAUCCUCUAAUGUUUCUGCUUAUGAGAUUAUUGUGGACAGUGUUAUGCCUGGAGUGGUUCCUGUAGUGUAUGAACAUAGUGGCACAACAUUGGAAAGCCUCUUUUAUUAUAUAGAAAAGGCCUUGGAUGGCCGGACAGCAAAGACAAUCGGGAUUCUUAGUGAUGGAGAUUCCAGAGGGAUUAACUUGCUUCAAGGAUACAGAAUCAGUGCCAAGAACCUUCUUAAGCCUGAGGUGAGAGAAUUCUGGGAGAAGUUAGGAAGCUGUGUCACCUCUCAAGAAGAACCUGGUUAUGUAGACAUCUUUGUUCCUCUGGCAGCAUCAGAGGCAGGAAUGGAGAUCCUUUCCCAGCUGUCUUCUCUAACUGGAGUGCUCUUCAGAGCUCCCACAGGAAUAGUAACUGGAUCAUAUCAGCACAUCCUCAGUGAAUGGCUGGGAAAUCAGAAAGAGGACCCUCCUCCAUCCAUCUACUUUACUGAAGUAAAACUGCAAACAUGGCUUAGAUGGACAGAACUCCUGGAAGAUGCACUGAAGGUCAUCAGGAAAAAGCUCAGACCAUAUUUUUGUGAUUUACAGAAGCAUGUUUCUGGCAAGAUUAUUGGUCAGAUUAUGUUUGAUACCAUGAACUGGUCUGAAGUUCAAGACAAUCGAAAAGUAGCCCAGGCAUUGACUGAUGGAUUAGUUGCACUCUCAAGAGGAAAUAAUGAAAACCCUUUGGAAUUUCUAUCUUCUUUCCUAAGGAGAAAGAAUAGUAAAAACAAAAAGUGCCAAAGCCCUGUUUCCUUCACUGGAAGCAACCCAGAAGCAAGCCUGGCUGCAUCACAGAAGAGUGGGAAACUUCAGGAAGAUGCAGCAGAAAAACGAAAAUGUUUUGUCAGAGAGCUUCUGAUAAGUGAGAGGAAUUAUGUGCGUUCACUGGAAAUUGUAAGAGAUGUUUACGUUAAGCCACUGAAUGCAGCGUUAGCCUCAAAUCGAGCCAUCCUCAGCUAUGCCAGUGUACAGACCAUGUUCUCUGACAUCUUGAACAUCUUACAACUCAACAGGUGGUUUUUAGAUGAGCUAAGACAAAGACUUGAUGAAUGGAGCCCAGCGCAAAACUUAGGAGAUGUAUUCAUUAAAUUUUGCAAGCAGCUUCAAACCUACACAAACUUCUACAACAACUAUGCAGUAAUUUUGAAAACGAUUGACAAGUGCAGAGAGACUAUUCCUCUCUUUCGUGCUUUUUUGAAGAGACAUGAUAGGACUGUUACCACCAACAUGAGGAGCCUACAGGAACUUCUGCUGUGCCCUUCUAAGAGGUUUGAAGAGUACGUUACUCUCCUGUAUGCUCUGAGGCUUCACAGUCCUCCAGAACACACUGACUGCGAAAACCUGAUUACUGCAAUUAAACAAAUAAAGCAAUACAAGGAUUAUCUUGAUCAGCUAAAACUGAAUGUGGGUAGAGCUGACCAAAUAUUAAAGACACAAAGAAUCAUCCAAGGAUGUCCUCCGUUAUUGAAAGCUGAUAGAUAUCUAAUUAGGACACAAGAUGUAACCCAGCUAAGCUGCUGUUCUGAGAAAGUCAGUAUUCCAUACAGGCUCUAUGAACACAUCCAUGAUCUCAGCCUUUUCCUUUUCAAUGAUAUACUUGUUAUCUCAUGGCGCAGCAUUUCUUAUAAACCUUUUGAAUGGACUCCAAAGACUACUCACCAGUUCUUGGAAGUAGUACCACUUUCUCAGCUCAUUGUUGAAGAUAUCCUGGAUUCCAAAUACAUCAAGAAUGCUUUUCUUCUACGAGGGCCAACAUGUCAGCUGAUUUGCUCAACAGAAGAAGACGAUGAUAAGUUCAUAUGGCUUUCUGCACUACACAGAGCAAUUAGCUGUAGUAUUGAGGAGAAUGAUAAUUACUUUUGCAGUAAAUCCCCAGCUGAGGCACUGAGGAGAGAUCUACAAAAGAAAGACAAGAUACUUGCAACAUCAGCAGCCUGUGGAAAAUCCCUGGCUGCACUGCACAUGGCUAUGCUCCCAAAGAAAAGACAAAGAUGAAAAUAAUUCAAGAGCAUGAUCAAUAUUGAAAAUUGGGCUUAAAGCUGGGUUUCCCAGAGGCUGAAGACCUUGGUUUUAAAAAUGUAACAACUAAACAAAAGAGAGGUAUAGUGCUGACGAAAAAUACAGAGCAAGAUGGUCCCUGCUCAGUGGUGUCAGUUUGGAGAGGAAAGGGCCCCCUCAGUAGGAACUGGAGGAGCCUGACUUUUCUGAUCCUUGAAUUACUGUCUGCAUAACCAAGUGGCAUCAGAUUACCGAAGCUGGCACUGCUACAGGUAUUCAUGGACUAGAGCUUCACAAUACAUGCAGUUGACUGUAUGCUUCAGAACAUUCCCAUUUCAAGAAACACCUCCAUAUGGAAAGCCAGAAUACAAGCAAUGGCAAGUCAUCCAAAAUUCAAGGAUCAGAGAGCCAGCGUGGUAUAGUGGUUAGAGUGCUGGACUAGGACUGAGAAGACCUGAGUUCAAAUCCCCAUUCAGCCAUGAAACUAGCUGGGUGACUCUGGGCCAGUCACUUCGCUCUCAGCCUAACCUACUUCACAAGGUUGUUGUGAAAGAGAAACUCAAGUAUGUAGUACACCGCUCUGGGCUCCUUGGAGGAAGAGCGGGAUAUAAAAGUCACCACCACCAUCAUCAUCAUCAUCCAAGAUGCUAGCUUUUCAUGUGCAAAGAGGUUUUUAAAUGAGGGCACACUAAAACAUGAUCCUAUGUAUUUUGAGGAGAUACAAUUCCAUGAGGCUUAUAUCGUGGUCUACUUGCUGAAUGUUUGCAUUGUUUCUGAAGCAUGCAUGGAUAUGAAUGAAAUGUUGAACUUUAAUAUCCUAAUAUAUUUGGCACACAUACAAGUUGCCAAGGGUAUCUAAUUAUAUUUAUCCUUUUCAAUCCUUGCUGUAUUCUUUAUAAGGAUACAGCAAUUUUAUAAGGCUCUAGGAAAACAGAGACCUCUUGUCUAUUGUUAUCCCAGAGGGGUCAAGCAUGGUUUCAGCUACAAUUGUGUCUCUAAGAAUAGAUAACAACAACUUUGUUAGCCUCCCUAUAACAAAUAGUUAUCUGGGUGGCUUACAACACAUUAAAAAUUGAGAUAAAAACAUUCAUUAAAUCAUAACUGACCAAAAAAAGGGGGGAGGGAGAGAAAAUACAAAAUAUAAUACAAGAACAGUUACAAUCACAUCAGAUCACUAUUUUUAAAAAAAUAAAUAAAUUUUAAAGGCCUGAGUGGACAGAAAGGUCUUUACCUAGAUCCCUCUUCCUAAAGGAAACAUAGGCCAAAUUCACAUCAAUAGCCAAUACAGUCAUUGAGAGACACGGGUUCAAAUUGUUCCUGCUGAAUCAUGAAGUGUUUUGGGAACCUUGGCUCUUAUUUCUCAGCCUAACCUAAUUCAGAGUUGUUGUGAGGUUAACCUGCGAUAAAGCCCUUGUUUGCCACACUGAGCUCUUUGGAGAAAACAAAUGGCUAUGGCAGAUGCUUUUUAAUACACCAGCUUAACAUGCAUACAACUGCAUUUUAGAGUAUAAUGAAAAUGCUUGUGCAGUAACAAGAAUGCUACUAAAAUAUGCAAUCAACAUAUUUUUAACAGAAAGGAGCACUUGUUACUUACCAUGAAGGCUUCUUCUUGCUGCUGGAUAUGAGGUCAACUCAUGUGGG